rnacentral:rRNA from 1 species
CCUACGGGUGGCAGCAGUGGGGAAUAUUGGACAAUGGGCGAAAGCCUGAUCCAGCCGUGCCGCGUGUGUGAAGAAGGCCUUCGGGUUGUAAAGCACUUUCAGUGGGGAAGAAAGCCUUGGGGCUAAUACCCUCGAGGAAGGACAUCACCCACAGAAGAAGCACCGGCUAACUCCGUGCCAGCAGCCGCGGUAAUACGGAGGGUGCGAGCGUUAAUCGGAAUUACUGGGCGUAAAGCGCGCGUAGGCGGUCUGAUAAGCCGGUUGUGAAAGCCCCGGGCUCAACCUGGGAACGGCAUCCGGAACUGUCAGGCUAGAGUGCAGGAGAGGAAGGUAGAAUUCCCGGUGUAGCGGUGAAAUGCGUAGAGAUCGGGAGGAAUACCAGUGGCGAAGGCGGCCUUCUGGACUGACACUGACGCUGAGGUGCGAAAGCGUGGGUAGCAAACAGGAUUAGAUACCCCAGUAGUC